CUAUGUGAUUUUCAAUUUCACUCAAGUACAGUUGGGUAGGUUGAUCACAGUAAUGAAUGGUAAUUAUAAAUCAAAUACCUAUGAUAUGUCAGAGGUUUGUUUUAAAAACAUAGAGGCCUAAAAUAACUUAAUAAUUACAUGAGUCACCAUGCCACUCAGCAAAAACACAUCCACAGUGUGGCUAUGUACAUGUAAUAUUUUUGGCUCACAAGGGGAAAAAAAACACUCUGUGUCAAAGUUAAUGUUUUGUUCAUCUGCCCAAGUAAAGGUCUGACAAGAAGGAACACAGUCAUUACCACUGGCAACCAUAACUUUUCACCUCAGCGCUGACGGCUUCCCUGACUGCAGCACUACUAUCUGAUUCCCAUCCAACCAUGGUGGGACAGGCGGCACAGACACAUAAACAAACAGGUAUAUGGUCUGUUUGACACAGUCUGCGAGUCUGCUGCCACGCAGCACCACAUUUAGAUCUGCCAGAAGUGGGAGACUGCAGCAGAGCACAGCAUUCAGUCUCCUUGGUCCUAAUGGGCUCAUGGUUGUUGCUCUACCGGGUUGCUCCUAAUGCACCUUUGUCUGUCUGGUGGGUCACAAAUGAAGGCACACGACAAUCUGUCACUAUCAAAUGACAUGUUGGAUCUCCUCCUAAAUAAUUUGUUGUCAGCCUUUUUUUUUCAACUAACAACAUUUGAUAAUAUAUUAAACUGCU